CCUACGGGCUGCAGCAGUGGGGAAUAUUGCACAAUGGAGGAAACCCUGAUGCAGCAACGCCGCGUGAGUGAAGAAGUAUUUCGGUAUGUAAAGCUCUAUCAUCAGGGAAAAAGAUGACGGUACCUGAUUAAGAAGCACCGGCUAACUACGUGCCAGCAGCCGCGGUUAUACGUAGGGGGCAAGCGUUAUCCGGAUUGACUGGGGGUAAAGGGAGCGAAGUCGGCAGGGAAAGUCUGGAGUUAAAGGCCGGGGCCCAACCCCGGUACUGCCCUGGAAACUGUGCGGCUAGAGUACUGGAGGGGCAGGGGGAAUUCCUGGUGUAGCGGUGAAAUGCGUAGAUAUUAGGAGGAACACCAGUGGCGAAAGCGGCCUGCUGGACAGUAACUGACGUUGAGGCUCGAAAGCGUGGGUAGCAAACAGGAUUAGAUACCCGUGUAGUC
rnacentral:rRNA from 1 species